GACGAACGCUGGCGGCGUGCUUAACACAUGCAAGUCGAACGGAAAGGCCCUGCUUGCAGGGUGCUCGAGUGGCGAACGGGUGAGUAACACGUGGGUGAUCUGCCCCUUACUUUGGGAUAAGCCUGGGAAACUGGGUCUAAUACUGGAUAGGACCAUGCUGUAGGUGGUGUGGUGGAAAGAUUUUUUCGGUAAGGGAUGAGCUCGCGGCCUAUCAGCUUGUUGGUGGGGUAAUGGCCUACCAAGGCGUCGACGGGUAGCCGGCCUGAGAGGGGGGACGGCCACAUUGGGACUGAGAUACGGCCCAGACUCCUACGGGAGGCAGCAGUGGGGAAUAUUGCACAAUGGGCGCAAGCCUGAUGCAGCGACGCCGCGUGGGGGAUGACGGCCUUCGGGUUGUAAACUCCUUUCAGCCAUGACGAAGCCUCUUUUGGGGUGACGGUAGUGGUAGAAGAAGCACCGGCUAACUACGUG
rnacentral:rRNA from 1 species